GAUGAACGCUAGCUACAGGCUUAACACAUGCAAGUCGCGGGGCAGCAUGGGGGUUGCUUGCAAUCCCCGAUGGCGACCGGCGCACGGGUGAGUAACGCGUAUCCAACCUGCCCUUCACCACGGGAUAACCCGGCGAAAGUCGGACUAAUACCGUAUGUUGUCCAUUGACGGCAUCCGAUUUGGACGAAAGGCUUGGCGGUGAGGGAUGGGGAUGCGUCCGAUUAGCCAGACGGCGGGGUAACGGCCCACCGUGGCUACGAUCGGUAGGGGUUCUGAGAGGAAGGUCCCCCACACUGGAACUGAGACACGGCCCAGACUCCUACGGGAGGCAGCAGUGAGGAAUAUUGGUCAAUGGGCGUAAGCCUGAACCAGCCAAGUAGCGUGCAGGAUGACGGCCCUAUGGGUUGUAAACUGCUUUUAUGCGGGGAUAAAGUGGCCCACGUGUGGGCUUUUGCAGGUACCGCAUGAAUAAGGACCGGCUAAUUCCGUG
rnacentral:rRNA from 1 species